UACGUAGGGGGCAAGCGUUGCUCGGAAUUACUGGGCGUAAAGGGCGCGCAGGCGGCUGCUCAAGUCAGGCGUGAAAGCCCCGGGCUCAACCUGGGAAUUGCAUGGGAAACUGGCGGGCUUGAGUGCGGCAGAGGGGGGGUGGAAUUCCGCGUGUAGCAGUGAAAUGCGUAGAGAUGCGGAGGAACACCGAUGGCGAAGGCAGCCCCCUGGGCCGACACUGACGCUCAGGCACGAAAGCGUGGGGGAGCAAACAGG
rnacentral:rRNA from 1 species